rnacentral:rRNA from 1 species
UACGGGGGGAGCAAGCGUUGUUCGGAUUUACUGGGCGUAAAGGGCGCGUAGGCGGCCACUGCAAGUCAAUUGUGAAAUCUCCGGGCUUAACUCGGAAAGGUCAACUGAUACUGCAGGGCUAGAGUGCAGAAGGGGCAACUGGAAUUCUCGGUGUAGCGGUGAAAUGCGUAGAUAUCGAGAGGAACACCUGCGGCGAAGGCGGGUUGCUGGGCUGACACUGACGCUGACAGCGCGAAAGCUAGGGGAGCGAACGGG